GACGAACGCUGGCGGCGUGCUUAACACAUGCAAGUCGAACGGAAAGACCCUGCUUUUGUGCUGUGCUCGAGUGGCGAACGGGGGAGUAACACGUGAGUAACCUGCCCUUGACUUUCGGAUAACUUCAGGAAACUGGGGCUAAUACCGUAUAGGAGCUCCUGCAGCAUUGUGGGGGUUGGAAAGUUUCGGCGGUUGUGGAUGGACUGGCGGCUUAUCGGCUUGUUGGUGGGGUAGUGGCUUACCAAGGCUUUGACGGGUAGCCGGCCUGAGAGGGUGACCGGCCACCAUGCGACUGAGAUACGGCCCAGAGUGGUACGGGAGGCAGGAGUGGGGAACCUUGCACAAUGGGACCAAGUCUGAUGAAGCAACCCUGCGUGCGGGAUGACGGCCUUCGGGUUGUAAACAGCUGUCGCCUGUGACGAAGCGUGAGUGACGGUAAUGGGUAAAGAAGCACCGGCUAACUACGUG
rnacentral:rRNA from 1 species